rnacentral:lncRNA from 10 species
AAGGAGGCCCCUGACUCGGAUGCUGAGGGCUACGUGGAGGGCCUGGAUGAUGAGGAGGAGGAUGAGGAUGAGGAGGAGUAUGAUGAAGAUGCUCAGGUAGUGGAAGACGAGGAGGACGAGGAUGAGGAGGAGGAAGGUGAAGAGGAGGACGUGAGUGGAGAGGAGGAGGUAAGGAGGCUGGGCUGGGCAGGGCCACCGUCUGCCCCUUUGAGGCAGUCCCACUGACUGCCUCUGUGAUCAGUCUUGGCAGCCCCGGAGCCCUGGUUAGGAAAGUCGCUCCCCGAUGGGUAGUGAAGUGAGUCCAUUUCAGAGCCUUUCACUGGGCUGUUUCUGGGGAGACAAGACUUGCAGU